ensembl:lncRNA
GGUCCUUUCUUUCUGUCCUUCAUCCAGUGGCAGGUUUAAAACUCUUUGAUGGUUUAGCUCUAUAAUAUUUAAAGUUCUAUUUCAAAUCCUUCGAACUUAGGGUUUUAGGAAAUAGCUAGCUGCGUGGGAAGGCAAGAGAAGAGUCUAUUAAAAUCUACAAUCCUCUUAGUGACCCAUUCACUGGGGCUCUCAGCAAAUCUGUUUGAGUUUUUCCCUCUACUGAAAACAAAGGAGAAAGCAAAUGGGAAACAGAAACCCUACCAAGACAAAUCUAAGAGGGGCCACUUCGAAAUAAACCUUAUUAAGAGAAAAUAUUUCAGUAAGUUGUGUUCAACUCUUUUGCAACCCCGUGGACUGUAGCUCAUCAGGCUCCUUCUGUCCCUGGGAUUUCACAGGCAAGAAUGUUGCCAUUUCCUUCUCCAGAGCAGCUUCCUGACCCAGGGAUCAAACCUGCAUCUCCAGCCCCCGCAGGUGGGUUCCUUACCACUACCACGACAGAUGAUGAGAUGGUUGAAUGGCAUCACUAACUCGAUGGACAUGAGUUUGAGUAGGCUCCAGGAGUUGGUGAUGGACAGGGAAGCCUGGUGUGCUGCAGUCUAUGGAAAGAGUCUCUCUAUGCAAAGAGUCAGAUAGGGCUGAGUGACUGAACUGAACUGAACUCUACAGUUCUUUUAGACACUUUAACAGAGGACAUGCAAAGAGAAAAAAAGUUGUGACUGUUGUAUGGAAUGCUUUAAAUGAAAUCAGAAGUUGAUUUAAAAUCUGAAUUAGCAAAAGCAAUAUUGACAUUGAUGGCAAAGCAAAAAUCAGAACAAGGAGAAAAGAUAUUUUCUUCCUAAAAAAAAGAAAACCAGCUGAUAUGGAACAGCAUAUACUCUAAUGUCCAAUUUGAAGAUGCUUUUAGAACCAGUCUUAAGAAUUUAAUCAAGGAAAAUGAAAAAUUAAGGUUUCUAUGUCUGAAAUAUUUUUAAUGAAACAAAGAAUAAAACUAUCAAGGAACUAAUGCUUUGUGUAUUUUAAAAUUUCAUUUUAAGAACAAUAACUUAAAGGAGGUGGGUGAUAUUAUCAAAAUGCAGUCCCCUAACAAGACCAACCAGGGGCUUCCAAGAUGGCAAUGGUAAAGACUCUGCCUGCCGGUGUAGGAGACACAGGAGAUGCAGCUUCAGUCCAUGGGUUGGGAAGAUAACCUGGAGAAGAAAAUGGCAACCCACUCUAGUAUUCUUGCGUGGAAAAUCCCAUGGACAUAGGAACCUUGUGGGCUACAGUCCAUGGGGUUGCAAAGAGUUGAACACAGCUCAGUGACUGAGCAUACAC